AUGGCUUCUUAUUACAGAGAUCAUGCUUUAAUAGCGGAUGGUAAUUGUGAAUGGGGUUCUCAGUGUUCAUGUUCUUUGAAUGGUAGGCGACAUUCUUAUUCCAUUGAUCUUCUUAGAAGAACUGUAUCUUCUGUUGAGAUGGAAACAAAAUUUUUAAAAGAAAUUGAAAAUGAUGCUACUUCUACCCUUGUUGAAGUAGAAGAACAUCUCCAUUCAAAAAAGUCCCCUAUUAAUUUGGUUGUUCCUGAAACACCAUAAGAUCCUAAGAAGAACAAGUCUUCCAGACGAAUUUGCAAAAAAAGUAUUGCUUCUUCUAGCGAACAUGAAAAUGGGGUAAAUCUAAAACCUAAAUCAAUAUACUUAAACUCAAGGCCUUGUUCCAUAAAUAGCUUAUAGUCCUUCGGGAAUAACCAAACUUCUCCGCCGUCUUGUUAAUUGUGUAAAUGGGUGACAAUGGUGGGGGACCGUUGAGGUCUAAAAGAGGCUCUAAGUCCCCUAUUACUUCAUUGUGUAAAGCUUCUACUUCCAUUAAGACAUCAUCUUCCCCAUCAGAAUCACGGUAUAAUGCUGCACUGUUUUCAGAUUCAUAAUCUGAAAAAUCAUCCAUUAUGAAACAAAGAGUAAAAAGCCAAAACUGAAGCCUGUGUUGAUUGAGUAUUGAUGCUGAUUAUUGAUGUAAGUACCCUGUUGCUGCUGAUAUUGUAAAAGGUUCAAGAGACUAUUUCAAGAUACAGAUGCUGAUAUUGACGUUUAACAUUCUGAUUUUAUAAAAAUUUUAAGUUACUGUUGGUGUAUUUGGGGAUAAUUUUGCUUUGUGAUUUUGGUUGUAUUUAUAGUGUAAGUAUGGGUUGAUAUUUAAUUUAAGCUUAAUCCAUGUAUAUGUUCAUCUACAGGUUGAUGUGUUGGUAAACUUUGAAUGUAAUUGGUUGUUUUAUUUAGGAAAAGAUUAAGAGCUUUAGACUUUCUUUUUUUUUUUUUGUUUUAUUUUGGCAAU